rnacentral:rRNA from 1 species
UGCAUAUCAAAUAAGCGGAGGAAAAGAAACCAACAGGGAUUGCCCUAGUAACGGCGAGUGAACAGGCAAGAGCUCAGAUUUGAAAGGCACUUUUGUGCCGUUGUAUUCUGAAGUUAGGGUCCUGAGAAACGAUGCUUAAGUCUUCUGGAAAGGAGCGCCAUGGAGGGUGAUAGCCCCGUCUAGCAUUGACCUCAUAUAGGAUCUUAACAUGGAGUCGAGUUGUUUGGGAAUGCAGCUCAAAUGGGUGGUAUGCUCCAUCUAAAGCUAAAUAUCUGCGAGAGACCGAUAGUAAACAAGUACUGUGAGGGAAAGAUGAAAAGAACUUUGAAAAGAGAGUGAAAAAGUACGUGAAAUUGUUGAAAUGGAAGGGUAGGCCGCUAACCAUGUAGAGCCGUGUUUGGGGGGAAGAUAAAUGCUGUAGAAUGUAGCUCCUCGGAGUAUUAUAGAUGCAGUUCAUAUUCCCACCCGAGCGCGAGGAUCUCAGGUUCUACUAAAUGGUGGUCUACCACCCGUCUUGACCAACGGAACCA